AGUAAGUGAGACAAACUUAACCUUUCCCAGUAAAACAAAGGAAAAGGCUGCAGUGAACUCAUGUGUGCUUUUAAGGUUAAAUAAUUUCAGAAUCGAAGGUUGUAAUUGUUUGCUCCAUAGCUGAUCAUUUUAAGCAACAAGGAUAUUUUGAUAGUCCUUGUUUAGGUCCCAAUCUGUAACUGACACUAAAGUGAAAUAUUCUUAAAACGAAUUUCCAUGUAGAAGUACUUUGAUAAAGGUCCUCAAACCAAUUCUUUA